GAUUUAAUCUGGAAAUGGAGAGAAAAGCCAAACAGACUGUUACCGCUCUAUUAUUUUCUCCCAACGCUCAGAAACCAGUGAAGACUGAAGAGUCUUUCGGGGAAGAGCCAGCAUCUUGGAGAGCAAGGCUGCAAGCAUACACGUGCGUACCUGACUGCUUCCCGGUAGUAUCUGAUGGCUGCUGUUUGGUUGCCUUGAUCAGCCAGGUUUUUGCCAAUGUUGUAGUGAACCUGAAAGCACAGGUAACAAUUUGGCUAUCAGCACACAGACUUCUUUGUCAGAGCUGGAAAUCUAUUGGAUCUUCUAACUGAAGAGAGAAAGGGAAGGGAUUUAAAACAAAACAAAACCAAUAAAAAACCACCUUCCAGAACCAAAAGGCCCUAUGAGGGGGAGGUUACAGGUUUAUGACUAUGAGUCAGGGGGUAACAAGCAGACAGCUGUAAAUAUGACAGGAAGGAAAAUGUCUACAUCACCCCCAGAGAAAACCAGAAAGUCACAAAACUAUGCUGUCCGGAAAGCCCCACGCCCUCCUCUCUUACAAACCUUAGAGUGAGAUCCCAGGCCAGUCACCUACAGACCUGCGACAGAGGUGACAGCUGUCACUUCUCUAAGUCCGGUCCUUUCUAUCUGGCAUAUUCUUCUGGUAGCAUCUGCAAACAUUUUUCUCCCUGCAUCACGAGUGGGAUGUUUUUGUUCCCCAUCCUCAAAUUAAUACAAUGGCGACCUAACUCCUACUUUAAGGAGUUAGAAGGUGGGGACUUUGGAAGGUGACAAGGUCACAGAGGUGACCCUCUCACUUUCUUUACUAUGUUAGGGUCUCACUGAAAAGAUGGCCGUCCCCAAACCAGAAGAAGGUCUUUCCCAGGCCACCACUAACCCACAGGUGCCUUCACUGUGCGUUCCCUAGCCUCCAGAAUGUUGAGAGUAAAUAUCUACUAUUUAAACCACAGUCCACAGGGUUCUUUUAUGGCAGCCUAAACUAAGAAGGUGCCAAAUAACAUCCACCAUCCCGCAUCCUUCAGGCAGUGACUGAUGAUGAUUGAGAAAGGCGCUGUACAAGCAGCUGGGCACAGCACGGAGGCAAAAGUCCAAAGUCCUCACAGCACUCCUAGCUAAUGACUAAACCACCUCAGUACCUGAGUCACUGCACAGACUACAGGGGCUGUGCAGGCAAGGUUAUGUCCUGGCUGGGAUCUGAACCUAGCUACUAGGGAGGGUUUGCCACAGAGGAAGAAGAGGCAGUCCAGAGUGCAGGGAUGAGCGGAAGCUAGUGUUGGGACAGGAGGCUCAGCGCUGCUGGAGUGCUGAGGGCAGGACUUCCAUCCGCCAGGAGCAGCUAGGCAGCAGCAGGUUGUUGAGGCACUGCUUGGGAGCAACCAGGUCAGUGCCCUUGGGCUGUCACGACAAAAGGCCACCAAUCCAGUCCCACAUAGCAGUGGUAGUCUCAGUUCUAAAGUCCAAGCCUGAGAGAGGAGCUCUUCCAGCCUGGCUCCUGUCUUUGGUGUUUAUCCGUAACCAGAUACCUCCCUACUGCUGUUCUCACCACAUCCAACUUCCCUGUCUCCAUGUCUCUCCUCUACCCUGAUGGUCAUUCUAACAAGUGGUACUGAGAACUCUGACACUGCAAACAAUCCACCUGAUUGCAGAAUGACUCAACGGUCUCCACUGCCAUCACAACAAAUGAGUUCGGAAUGCCCACACAUCUCCCAGCCUCUUAUGUCAGGAAUGAGGACUGGGCUGCGGACACCAGAGGGCUCAAGCUGGGCUCUCUGUGAGCAAUGGCUCUGACUGAAGGGUUCCUGUCUUGAACUCCUGCCCUGACUUCUUACAAGGACGGACUGUGAGGGAUGCAUAUCCCAGCCUGGCCUCAAACUCACUACGUAGCAGAGGGUGAUUGUGAAUUUCUGAUCUUCUUGCCUCCACCUCUUCAGUGCCGAGAUGGCAGGGCUGGCUCACGUAGAACUGGGGACUGGACUCAGGGCUUUGUGAGUGAUACACAAGCACCCUACCAACUAAGCUACACCUCCAGACCACUUGCCUCUGUCUGUAACAUAGGAAACUGAAAAGGAUAAGCGGACUCCGGUUCUCGCUCCACUAUAUGGCAGUGUCUGCAGACCCCAGGAUCAGGGAGUCUCAGCUCACAGAUGAGAAGACCCGCACACUACUAUGCCUGUCUUCCAACCAAACCUCUGAAAUCUUGCAAAGUAUGAAACGAAUCUGCUGAUUUAAAUACAACUUUUUUUCUCAUCUAUGCUUUGCUACAGAGUUACCUGUAUUUUAUCUGGAGCCAUAUAACUAAGCAAGCUCAUGUGCUAGGGUGUCUUCCGGAAUCUAAACUAGAAAGCCUAAUCUUUGAAAACACCAUUGUCUGGGGCUGGAGAGAUGGCUCAGUGGUUAAGAACACUUGCUUCUCUUUCAGAGGACUCAAGUUUCAUUUCCAGCACCCUUAUGAGGCAUUUCACAAUCACCUGCAAUUCCUGUUCUGAAAGACUCCACACCCUCUGGGUUUUGCACAAGGUACCUGCCUACAUGCAUUGCAUAUACAUACACUCAGACACAUACACAAAAUAAUAAACAAAUAAAUCUUUAAAAUCAUAUCAUUUAAGUCAAGGAGUCUUCUUUACAAACACGGAGUGUCUCUGUACAUUAUAAACCAAGGUCAAGCAACUUACACAGCAUUAGCAAAAUGCUUCUAUUUACCCA